rnacentral:misc_RNA from 1 species
UAGCCGUACCGGAAGGUGCGGCUGGAUCACCUCCUUUCUAAGGAGCACAUUUAGUUGGCCAUGCUACCCGCGAGUGUCGGGUGGGUGGUUUUGCUCAUGGGUGGAAUGUUGGUUUUGGGUUGGAUGAGGCGCAUUGUUGGGUUUUGGGGUAACACGCAUGUGUUGUUCCUUUGUUUGCCUGGCAUCGAUGAAGAACGCAGC